GAUGAACGCUGGCGGCGUGCCUAAUACAUGCAAGUCGAGCGAACAGAUAAGGAGCUUGCUCCCUUGACGUAAGCGGCGGACGGGUGAGUAACACGUGGGUAACCUACCUAUAAGACUGGAAUAACUCCGGGAAACCGGGGCUAAUGCCGGAUAACAUUUAGAACCGCAUGGUUCUAAAGUGAAAGAUGGUUUUGCUAUCACUUAUAGAUGGACCCGCGCCGUAUUAGCUAGUUGGUAAGGUAACGGCUUACCAAGGCAACGAUACGUAGCCGACCUGAGAGGGUGAUCGGCCACACUGGAACUGAGACACGGUCCAGACUCCUACGGGAGGCAGCAGUAGGGAAUCUUCCGCAAUGGGCGAAAGCCUGACGGAGCAACGCCGCGUGAGUGAUGAAGGUCUUCGGAUCGUAAAACUCUGUUAUUAGGGAAGAACAAAUGUGUAAGUAACUGUGCACGUCUUGACGGUACCUAAUCAGAAAGCCACGGCUAACUACGUG
rnacentral:rRNA from 1 species